UACGUAGGGUGCAAGCGUUAAUCGGAAUUACUGGGCGUAAAGCGUGCGCAGGCGGUUUUGUAAGUCUGUCGUGAAAGCCCCGGGCUCAACCUGGGAAUUGCGAUGGAGACUGCAAGGCUUGAAUCUGGCAGAGGGGGGGUAGAAUUCCACGUGUAGCAGUGAAAUGCGUAGAUAUCGCUUGGAACGCCGAAGGUGAAAAACAGGUCGCUGGGAGUGCGCCGACGCUGAGACACGAAAGCCAGGGGAGCAAACGGG
rnacentral:rRNA from 1 species